rnacentral:ncRNA from 2 species
GUGACACCGAUAGAUGUCAGUAUCCGAUAAGGAUAAAGGGAAUUCGAAGCCGUCCGUGAAGACGGUUAACCGAAGCUGCCCCCGCAACUGUAGGCGGUGAGUGUUUCCUUCUGAAAGCCACUGGGAUAUUUCCCGGGAAGGCAGGAAAACACAACGACCCGCGAGCCAGGAGACCUGCUGACAUAAAUACGACGGA